rnacentral:rRNA from 1 species
CAAUCAAACCGGGAGAUAGCUGGUUCUCCCCGAAAGCUAUUUAGGUAGCGCCUCGUGAAUUCAUCUCCGGGGGUAGAGCACUGUUUCGGCAAGGGGGUCAUCCCGACUUACCAACCCGAUGCAAACUACGAAUACCGGAGAAUGUUAUCACGGGAGACACACGGCGGGUGCUAACGUCCGUCGUGAAGAGGGAAACAACCCAGACCGCCAGCUAAGGUCCCAAAGUCAUGGUUAAGUGGGAAACGAUGUGGGAAG